UCUAAUGAGACUGCCGGUGGACAAACCGGGAGGAAGGUGGGGGAUGACGUCAAGUCCUCAUGGCCCUUAUGGGUAGGGCUUCACACGUCAUACAAUGGUCGGGACAGAGGGUUGCCAACCCGCGAGGGGGAGCUAAUCCCAUAAACCCGAUCGUAGUCCGGAUUGCAGUCUGCAACUCGACUGCAUGAAGUCGGAAUCGCUAGUAAUCGCGGAUCAGCAUGUCGCGGUGAAUACGUUCCCGGGUCUU
rnacentral:rRNA from 1 species